UACGACGUAUCAGAGUUUGAUCCUGGCUCAGGACGAACGCUGGCGGCGUGCCUAACACAUGCAAGUCGAACGGGGCACCUUCGGGUGCUUAGUGGCGAACGGGUGAGUAACGCGUGAGAAACCUGCCUUUCAGUGGGGGACAACAGUUGGAAACGACUGCUAAUACCGCAUAAUGUUCCGAGAGGGCAUCCUCUUGGAACCAAAGCUUUAUGUGCUGAAAGAUGGUCUCGCGUCUGAUUAGCUAGUUGGUGAGGUAACGGCUCACCAAGGCGACGAUCAGUAGCCGGUCUGAGAGGAUGAACGGCCACAUUGGGACUGAGAUACGGCCCAG
rnacentral:rRNA from 1 species